ensembl:lncRNA
GGGAGACAGGUGGAGGAGGGGCAUCGCUGGGAGACGCACCGGAACACAUUCUGUACCUGCACCUCUGGACAGGUCACCUGCUCUGCUCCUACUGACGGUGUAUGGGAUGGUUUCACCAAGCUGAGAGCUGAGUUCUCCCCUCAGGCUGGUGGCCAUACCUACUUCCUGCCCUGGCAGCGCUACUUCCUGCGGGUGGUGGAGCAGGAGCUCCAGGCUGUGUCGUCAUGCCAACUGGGUGUUCCGUACUUCGAGUGGACGGUCGACUCUGGUGAUCUUUUGACCUCAGCUGUCUGGCAGCCUGAGAUGUUUGGAGGGGACGGAGAGAGAGAGAGGAAUGGCGAGAGGGAAAGGGGUGAAGAGGGGGAUAGAGCGAGUGAGGGGGAUGGAGAGCAAGAGAGCAACUAUGUCUCAGGCUGUGUCCCCCACCACUCCUUCCAGGGCUUGUCUGCACGGUUCCACUGGUCCCCCUGUCUACGACGGAGCUUCAACACCUCGGUGUCUGUGCCUGACGCGGUGAGCGUCCAGAGGCUACUGUCCCAGGGAAACUUCCUGUUGUUCUCCCAGGCUCUGCAGGGGCUGUCUGGGCUAUUUAGGCUCUGGGUGGGGGGCCACAUGGCUUCUCCUCUGGCCGCCUAUGACCCCCUCUACCUCUCACACGCCGCUUUCAUCGACAAGCUCUGGACACACUGGCAGGACAGGCACAGAGACGUGCACACUCAUGAAGAAGCUCAUGGGCACACUCACCUACACACCAAGUACCCGGUGAGGCAGCGUCUCAUCAAGAUGAAGCCGUUCGGCAUUGCUCCUGAUGAUGUGAUGUCUUCACGGGAACAACUGUGUGUGGUAUAUGUACCCAUAACCCUCGGAGCUCCCUGCAAUGUGACAUCAUCACUCCUUGCCGAAAGAGGGAAGGGCCGCCACAGAGGAGCGAAAGACACUGCCAGCUAUCACAGAAAGAGACAAGAUACACAAAACAACCAUAAACACAGCACCUAUGAUUACAAUGCACAAGGCUAUGAUGGCUUUGACCACAGUGGUUACAAUCGCAAUGGAUAUGACAGACAAGGUUUCAACCGCAUGGGCUGGGACCUGCUUGGUUACAGUAAGGAUGGUUUGGACCGUGACCACAUCGACAGAGAGGGCUAUGACAUUUCUGGAUACAACCGCUAUGGGUUUAACCGCCACAAUGUUACAUGGUUUGGGAUGCGCUGGGAUGGAUUGUUUAUGAGGGAGGAGGAGAGAGAAGUGGAGACUCAGGGGGAGAAAGAGAAGGAGAGUGAGGUGAGAGAGGAGAGUAGAGAGGAGGAGGAGAGAGAAAGAGAGAAGGUUAUGUCAGAGCUCUUUAGCGACAGUGGCUACAGUGUUUAUGGUUUCGACCCCUUUGGUUUGGACCGGGGUGGUUUUGAUGCAUUUGGAUUUCGACCAGACGGAUACGAUAAGGACAGCUGUAACUGGUUCUACAACGGACCGCACUACCUACGGUUCUACUACCACACCCAACAGCAGCUAAUUUCAACCAAUCAACACACUCUUAACCACAUUACAAGAACCUGCUCUCCAAUUACAGCCUUGCCUCAGCACUGGCCUUUGCAGGAUUGGAUGGCUCUGGAUCAAGAGGAGAGCCAAGCCCUGAUUGGUCAGCUGGAGCGGGAGUGGGCAGGACAAAAGCAUUCUGAUGACUACUACACCCACAAGGUGAUGUCACAGAGGGGACGGGGCAUUUGGCUGCCAAUCACCCCAGACAGCAGGUUUUGUUUUGAACUACACUGGUUUUCUGGUUGUCCUCUUGGCUCUGCCCCCAUGACCUGCCCUGACCUCUGCCGUGAAGCACGUUGUCUUGGUAACCCGAUGGCUGAGUGUCGUUUGCGGAACUGUGGCUCCUGCUUUACUGAGUGGCUUGACCCAACCACCGGAGCGUACGUCAUCUGCCAGGGCUGGUAACCAGUGCUGACCGGCGCCCAUGUCAUUCAGCGUAGUGGAAGAUGACUAGAAAAUGCUUUUUUAUCAUGAAAAACGAAUGCAGUUCGACAUCAGAGCUUUCAUUACCAAGGCUGGUUACCAAGUCUGGAGAUAGGACACUUUUCUCUUUCUGGAAUACACUUUGAUGAUGGGUUGGAAUGAAAGUCUGCACACCCUGUAGCACUUCCUAUGAAUAUUUAACUGAAGUAGGAGAUAUUUAGACAUUAGGAGGUGUAAUCAAUGUACCACACUGUAUUAGAUAAAGGGAGUGAAUGUUUCUAGUGUUCUUUGUUGCUGCUUUUACUCUUCAUCUAUUAAGCUGUUUACCCACCACAUGAUAUUCACCACACACACACACACACCCUGGCAUUUGUAAAAUGUGUCUUUGUUCUGUCAUGUUCCCUAUAGAAAUGAAAAGGUUACUUACUUUUAAAGCAAGUUCCAUCUCCACACACACAUAUACACACAGUAGGCCGGUAUAUGUCGAAUGGGUCUCUGUUCUGUCAUGUUCCCUAUAGAAACGACCCUGUUGGAAUGUACUGUAAACAUGAUAUUAUGCCUUCAAUCUCUCUCUCUUUCUCUUUCUCUCUCUCUCUCGCUCUCCCUCUCUCUCUCUCUCUUUCUCUCUCUCUCUCCCCUCUCCCCCUCUAUCUCUCUCCAUCUUCUCUUCAUUUCUCUCUCCAUCCCUCACACUCUCUCAUUCCUACCUCUCUCUCUUAUCUUCUGUCUGAAUCAGUUUUUCUUUCUCUUUCCCCAUUCUCUCUGUCUACUGUCUUUGUCUCCUCUUGUUUUUUUAUGUCCAUCUUUCUUUUCUGUCCGUCUUUUCUCUCUUAAUUGUUUCUGAUGGCAUCCAGCCGACACACACACACACACAC